rnacentral:rRNA from 1 species
UUGAACGCUGGCGGCAGGCCUAACACAUGCAAGUCGAGCGGAUGAAGGGAGCUUGCUCCUGGAUUCAGCGGCGGACGGGUGAGUAAUGCCUAGGAAUCUGCCUGGUAGUGGGGGAUAACGUCCGGAAACGGGCGCUAAUACCGCAUACGUCCAGAGGGAGAAAGUGGGGGAUCUUCGGACCUCACGCUAUCAGAUGAGCCUAGGUCGGAUUAGCUAGUUGGUGGGGUAAAGGCCUACCAAGGCGACGAUCCGUAGCUGGUCUGAGAGGAUGAUCAGUCACACUGGAACUGAGACACGGUCCAGACUCCUACGGGAGGCAGCAGUGGGGAAUCUUGGACAAUGGGCGAAAGCCUGAUCCAGCCAUGCCGCGUGUGUGAAGAAGGUCUUCGGAUUGUAAAGCACUUUAAGUUGGGAGGAAGGGCAGUAAGUUAAUACCUUGCUGUUUUGACGUUACCAACAGAAUAAGCACCGGCUAACUUCGUG